GUCCUGGCCCUAAACGAUGCGCACUAGGUAGCGGGAGGUUCCGACUUCCCGCUGCCGGAAGUAAAAUCUUAAGUGCGCCGCCUGGGGAGUACGGCCGCAAAGGUUAAAACUCAAAGGAAUUGGACGGGGGCUCACACAAGCGGUGGAGGAUGUUGCUUAAUUCGAAGCAACGCGUAGAACCUUACCAGGACUUGACAUGCUGGUGGUAGGACCCGGAAACGGGAACGACUCUCCUUACGGAGAGAGCCAGCACAGGUGUUGCAUGGCUGUCGU
rnacentral:rRNA from 1 species